AGUGAACGCUGGCGGUAGGCCUAACACAUGCCAGUCGAACGGCAGCACAGUAAGAGCUUGCUCUUACGGGUGGCGAGUGGCGGACGGGUGAGGAAUACAUCGGAAUCUACUUUUUCGUGGGGGAUAACGUAGGGAAACUUACGCUAAUACCGCAUACGACCUACGGGUGAAAGCAGGGGAUCUUCGGACCUUGCGCGAUUGAAUGAGCCGAUGUCGGAUUAGCUAGUUGGCGGGGUAAAGGCCCACCAAGGCGACGAUCCGUAGCUGGUCUGAGAGGAUGAUCAGCCACACUGGAACUGAGACUCGGUCCAGACUCCUACGGGAGGCAGCAGUGGGGAAUAUUGGACAAUGGGCGCAAGCCUGAUCCAGCCAUACCGCGUGGGUGAAGAAGGCCUUCGGGUUGUAAAGCCCUUUUGUUGGGAAAGAAAAGCAGCAGGUUAAUACCCCGCUGUUCUGACGGUACCCAAAGAAUAAGCACCGGCUAACUUCGUG
rnacentral:rRNA from 1 species